GACAAAAUUUGGGAUGAAUUUCCGCUUAAACGGCGCAGAACAUGCCUUUCCGUCACCGACCGGGAUGGAGGAGGGACGGCCCCGGCCCCUCGGUGGGUUUGGGGCUCUUUCGGGGGAUUUUGGGAGCGGUUGGGGAUGGGAAUCACCUAAAUGUUGGGAAAAUGUCCCUUGAGGGAUGCUCCGUGCAAGGAGAGGGGUGUCAAUGUCAUCCCAACGUCAUCCCAACGUCAAUGUCAUCCCAACGUCAAUGUCAUCCCAACGUCAACGUCAGCCCAACGUCAACUCAAUGUCAUCCCAACGUCAACUCAACAUCUACCCAAUGUUAUCCCAACAUCAACUCAACGUCAGCCCAACAUCAACUCAACGUCAGCCCAACGUCAACGUCAACCCAAUGUUAUCCCAACAUCAACUCAAUGUCAACCCAACGUCAUUCCAACGUCAACUCAACGUCAGCCCAACGUCAUUCUAACAUCAACCCAACGUCAUCCCAAUGUCAACUCAACAUCAUCCUAACGAACCACCG
rnacentral:lncRNA from 1 species